rnacentral:rRNA from 1 species
CCUACGGGAGGCUGCAGUGGGGAAUAUUGGACAAUGGGGGCAACCCUGAUCCAGCCAUGCCGCGUGUGUGAAGAAGGCCCUCGGGUUGUAAAGCACUUUCAGUGAGGAAGAACGCCUGGUGGUUAAUACCCAUCAGGAAAGACAUCACUCACAGAAGAAGCACCGGCUAACUCCGUGCCAGCAGCCGCGGUAAUACGGAGGGUGCGAGCGUUAAUCGGAAUUACUGGGCGUAAAGCGCGCGUAGGUGGCUUGAUAAGCCGGUUGUGAAAGCCCCGGGCUCAACCUGGGAACGGCAUCCGGAACUGUCAAGCUAGAGUGCGGGAGAGGAAGGUAGAAUUCCCGGUGUAGCGGUGAAAUGCGUAGAGAUCGGGAGGAAUACCAGUGGCGAAGGCGGCCUUCUGGACUGACACUGACACUGAGGUGCGAAAGCGUGGGUAGCAAACAGGAUUAGAUACCCCUGUAGUC